CUUUUCUCCUGUUAAUCUGGCUUUUGUCAUUUUAGCAGGUGUCAGUUAGAGAAUUUAAGAAGGUAGAUGAAAGGUUUUUUCCUCCCUCCCCCGCAGAAUGCAGGAUGUUUAGACGGGAAGCCACCUCCUGGCCCUCUUUCUGCUCCUAGGUACCCACACAGAGUUAGUAUUACUUUUAAAGUCUGGGAAGCCCUCAAAAAUGUUUUCUUUUCCUUUAAAAAUCACUGUAGCGCCCCAAGGCCUGGGGGCAGGGUGACAAGGGGUACCAAUGACCGCCCGCUGUCCCUGCCGAGGCCUGGGGGCAGGGUGACAAGGGGGACCAAUGACCGCCCGCUGUCCCUGCCAACGUUCUGCAAGCUUGUCUUGGCCCCCAGACUCCACUUCUCAAAGAUCAGGGGCCACUUCAUUAUCCCAGGCUGCAUGAUGUCAUGUGUCGGGAAGUUCGGUUUGGACUUUUCCAGGAAAUGGUGCAAGCAGGCUGAGCAGUGCGUGUGUGAGCGUCUUCUCAGCAUCCUGCAGUCAGGGGACUGUGCGUCCUCCAUCGGGAGGCACCCCCCCCCCCCCGCCCGAGCCCCCUCGGCUCGUCCUCCGUUCCGUUUCUCCAGUUUGGUGAGAACUCUCCCACACGGGGGCCACAAGCGGGGAUGGGUGCUGUUGGCUGUUGUUAACCUCGGUCUGCCACAAGGGUUCCCCUUAGUCUUUCCUUCUGCAGGAGAACAUGGGCUGGAAAAGCAGUGGGACCGGCCCUGAGCAGUCCUUACCAAGCUCACUGAGCUGGGGGGUGGGCAGCCCCAUGGCUGCGUCCUCGAGGGGCUAGGUCCCUGCAGAGACCCGUGCCCAACGCCCCGUGUGCUCUGGGUCCUUCGCCCCGCUGCCCCACCAACCUCCUCCUGCUCAGGGCCCCAGGGGCUGCCCAUGGACAGCUAUAAGGGCAAAGACAAAUUCGCUCCCUCUUGAAAAGAAGAGACUCCCCACCGCUCCCUUCUUUCAGAGCUUCUGGGUCCUUUCCGAGGGUGUGUGCAAAUCUCCCUAAUAGCUACAUAAGCCUUGGGGCUCGGGAAUGCUCCUCCAGGCCUGGCAGCCAGCUCUUUGAACUGUAAUCUGCAGGAGAUAACACCACCUCCCCCGGUUCGGGGGGGGGGGGGGCUGACGUGUCACCUGAUUGCAAACAGAGCCCGGGCUCCUCCCGUGUCUGGGUUGCCUUAGAAGGCUGCUGGGCUGCGCAUCACCCUCUGGCUUGCGGCUCAUGCAAUGAUAGAGCUGUGUUCUUUCUCUUCCACCUUCACGGGCAGGUGUUCUGCAUUGAGAAGACAUUUGUUUUUUAUUCUAUUUCCCAGAGGAAACCUGGCGGGAGAUGGCCGUCAGAGGAGAGAGGGGUCAGUCAUCCUUCCCCUGGGUCCAGGUCCCUUGCCCCUCAAGCCUGGGCUGAGCAGCUCCUGGCUGGUAAACCUGGCUACUGCACCAGUCCUUGUAAACAGCCUUUUGUCAAAUCUCCUCCCUCCUGGGUGUGUCUCCCUUGGCCAGGCACCCAUCUCCCAUUUGGGGGGGUUCGGUCCUGGUGGUCAGGGACACCCCAGCAGAUGGGAGGCCACAGACUGUCCUGGGUCCCCAGGUCCCGUGGGCAGCCAUGCUUCUUCCCACCUGCCCAGGCACACACUCUGCUGGCCUGGGCCUCCACUGUCCCACCGAUGCAUGUGUGGCUUGCACACCAUGCCCGGGUGGCGGACUGCGGGACCCUGGAGACCAGGACUCUAGCCGUGCCUUUCUGUCACCGAGGGCAUAGACUUGUCUUGUUUCGUCCACGUGCCCUUUCCACAUGCUGGUGGGUUAGCCGUUGAGACUAGCUGUCCCCACUGUGGGGUAGACUGUCCCAGGCAAAGCCGGCCACCCUGGCCAUGCCUGGAUGUCCCCCACACCCUCCCACCUCAGGGGCCCCCUCACUUCCUGAGGUCUCGGGGCAGAAGACAGAGAGGGGAUCUUCCGCGGCAGAAGGACCACCCACAGCCUGGCCUUGGGAGUCAACGCAGUGUAACUGGCUUCACACGGGCUCACAUGCACACACUCGUGCACCGCCCCCCACCCCACGCACGUGGGUCUGGAAUGAGUGGCCAGGUGUCGGGAGCUGGCCCAGAAGUCCCAGAGGAAUCAGCCCUUGGAAGGAGGGCACCACGGCUGCCCUCGGCCGGAACUGGCGGAGUCCCCGCCCGAGGUCCACAGCAGGACUCUGGCUUCUUCUGUGGGGACAGACCCCCGAGUGCCACGAGAGCCAGACCAGCGAAAGGGAUGAAGGGCUGGGCCCGGGCGGUCUGGAGCUGACACUGUGUCCGGCUCCUCCAGGACUCCCUGCUCGCCCACAUGCCGGCGAUGGCCACAGAAGCCUGGCUGCUCAGCUGGCCUGGGACGGGCUUCGAGGAGAAGGAAAGGUUGGGUAAGCCGGGGCUAGGCCCAACUCCAGAGGCUGCGGGGGCCUCGGCUUCCGUGGGGAGGGGGCUGCAGGAGCAGGUAACAUGUUGGGAAAUAGUUCUGCAGGCACAGUGGGAGACGGGGAUCAACUGUGACGGAGCCGUGGGGGACGGUGGCUCGGGCGGCCCAGCUGCGUCUCGGCUGCGUCUCUCGCACCCGUUGUGCUGCAAGGAGCCGCUAUACGUGCCAUGCGUGCUCUGCCCUCACGGCCUGCCUCUCCCGCAGCCGUGGGCACAUGUGGCCCAGUCCCCUCGGGGAGGCCCGGGGAGCGCGGCUUCGCUGCCAGAGCCAUCCCCCCUCAUCGUUGCGCCACUCGAAGAACAUGACAGGGAUCAGGGUCCUCCACCCGCUCCGCAGACGCCCCGACCCCCAGCAUCCCCGGUCCGAACCCCAGGCCGGCAGCCAGCCCUCUGUGCCCUGCACUGACCCCUCAGCCUCCCCGCUUGGCCGCGAGCCGUCCUGGCUCUGCCCGCCGCCCCUCUCCCUCACGGCUUCCCUCCCCGUCCUUUCGGGGCCUGGCUUCCCUUCCCUGGGAACGAGGGCUGGGACUCAACUAAUUGAUGUCAGUAGAAAUGCUGACGGGCUGAUUUCAUGUGUCGGCCCACCUCCCUGAGAUGCUCCCGGGACGGUGCCGUGUCAUGGGUCCCCACGGAAUGGGGGGAGGGCUGGAGCCGGCCGCGCAGACUUGGCCGGCCUCCACCUCAUUGUUCAUGCCUCAGCUCCCACUUCCUCUGCUUCUAAAUGAGCAGAAGUUGUUGGGGCCUGUUUACCCCAUCAGAGCUCCAACGGCCUGUGUGAGUCAUAUUCCGGCCACUGCCUUCUGGAUGCGUCUGCCGGAGACCCACGGCCUCACCCGAAGAGGCCAAGACACUUCCAUCUGCUGGGAACAUACAGUCAAGAACACAUCCAAACCGGGAGCAACUGUGAUUCAGCAGAACUCCCGAGUGACUCACCAGCAGAGUCCAUCCGCCGUGACCCCGCUCCCUCCAUAUUCCUUCCUUAACUCACCCACCGGCUCGUCCCCGGGGGGCCGCUCCGUGCUGGGCACCGUGCAGGGUGGUGCUCAGCAAGAAGGGGCGGUGGGCACAGCAUCCAGCUGUGGCCAGGCCUGGGGGUGAGCCAGGACCGGGUGUGGCAGGUGUGUGGGGCGCUCCCUCCCAGGUGUGGCCCCCGCGUGCACCACCCGAGGGGGGGGCCUCCCUAACUCGUUCUUUGUGUCUGGCCGCGGUCACUCGGCUGUCCUCUGUGACAUGGCCCAGCUGUCCCUCAGACGUAGUCUGCUCAUGGCCGUGCAGCGCCCAUGGCGUGGAUGCCCCACAGCGUGGAUGUCCCACGGCUGGGACUGUUUCCAAUUUAGGGCGCUUGGGUUGUGCUGCUGUGAGUAAUCCCGUGAACGUCUUCAGGGGAACGUGAGUAGGUGCAUCUGCAGGGCGCCCUAAAGGGAGUGCAAUGCGGUUACAGGGUAUGAAACACUUGAACUUGAGCGAGUAGCGACCAGCGUUUUCCAGAGUCGACGGGUCCACCAGCGCCCGGCGAGGGCUCUGGGUUCGCCCGAACUUGCCGACACGGGAGCUCGUCAGUCUCUUUGGAUUUAGGCAUCCUGGUAGGACGUAGCUCACGGUUCAGUUUGCAUUUCCCUGACUGUGAAUGCAGGUGAGGGCCGUCCCACGUAUUUGCCGCCUCCUCUGUGGUGAAGGGACUGAGUCUCUGGGCACGCGUCUCGUGGGCUGUGGACCCGAUUCUCCUUGAUUCGCAAGAGUUCCUUCUACGUUCACCAUCCACGUCUGUCCCUAGUGCCGUCACAUGGCCUCUCUCGCUCCGCAUGUUCACACAGGCUUUUAGUCUAGUUUGUCCACGUGUUAACCAUGACGACACCCCUCCUGAGGCCACAUUCUCUGCUGUCCUACCUUUCCCCUCCGAGCAGCCGUCCACCCGGAGUUGACACUUCCAUAGGAUGGGAGGGGGGUCAAAGUUCUCUCCCCCGUUGACAUCCAACCGCUUGGCACCGUCUGUAGAGGGGACCUCCCUUCCCCGUGGGGCGCGGACUGACCCUUCCUCCUGGGGCGGCCGCACCAGCGCCCCCGCGAUCAGCAUGAAUGGUACGCACACGUCUCUUUUCUAUGUGCUUUCUGUGUUUUUUCAGAUGCAUCCCUAUGAGCAGAAUAUUAUCAGACUUUCGUUUCUUUUUAAAUCCAGUCUGGCGAUCUUUGAGAGUGUUUUGUUUAUUUGCCAUUAAUAUGAUUUCUAACGUGUUGGGGUUAUAACCCUCACCCUGCCCCCCGUUUCCUCUCGUUCCCGCCUGUUCUGUGGCCCUUCUCCUCUCAGUUGUCCUCUUUUCAAUUGUACAAAUUGUCUUUUUAGUUACUCAGUGCUCUCCUCUACCAGUUUGCUUGCUGCACAUUUUGUACUGAUCUCUUAGUGGUUUCUUUCCCAUACAAGUUAACACUUUCAUCUCUUCCCAGACCACAUCGGGACGUUCGAACUCUUGAAUUGCAUUUCUCCCUGUGGUAGAUGGAAUGAUACCCCCAAAGGCAGCCAUGUCCUAAUUCCUAGAACCCAUGAACGUGUUAUGUUAUGUAGGAAAGAGGCUUUGUGGACGCCAUGAAGGUUACGAAUCUUAAAAUACAGAGGUCAUCCUGGAUUACCCAGGUGGGCCCAGUCUGAACACAGGAGCCCCUGGGAGCAGAGGAUCUCUCCGCGUCAGCCAGUGGCGUUCAAGGCCAGAGGAGUGGACGUGCACUGCUGGCUGGAGACAGAGGGGACAGCGACAGGGAGCGCGGCAGCCUCAGGAAAAGGAGUCCCAGCUGACAGCCAGGAAGGCACCAGGGAUGUCCGUCCUAUGAGGAAGAGGACCGGGGCUCGGCCAAUGCUGGGAUGCCCUCAGACGUGGAUUCUGCAACAGGGCCUGCCGACAGGAGCCCCGCCAGGCCUUGCCUCCUCGACUCUGGCCGUGGGAGAGGCCACGCAGAGGACCCAGGCACGCCCCAGACCUCAGACCUGCGGGAGCCUGACAUAACCGAUUCCUGUGGCUUGUGGUCCUUUCUUCUGCAGCACUCCUUCCUCCCCCACAUUUCUGCUCCUAGGGCCACGAAGGUGAAUUCCGCACAUAUUUCAAACCUGGCAGACAUUCGCUGUCUGGUCGGUUCUCCUGUGCCUGCUCAGCACCCCGAGCCACCCUGUCCGCCCCCACUUCUGUGUUUCUGUGCGGCUUCCGUCCUCGUUGGAACGGCUCCCAUCGGGGUGACCUGGAAUGCCAGUUUGAUGGGGACAAGUUCCCUCUGGUGUGGUUGUCCAAAAACACCGUGCUUUUGCCUUCAUUUUUGCAGGAUGUUUUUGCUGGUACAAGGUACUUGGGCAACAACAUAAGUCAUAAUAUUAUUGACUCACAGCCCAAGAGUGGAAUAAAUACCCAUGAGUCCACAUGGAUUCAAAUAAUGAUGGAAAAUAUAAAUAAAUGAGAGAAAGGGGCAACUCUUGCCUCCAGUAAAUUCCAAUCAAUAAAUGUGAAAGGAAUGAGGGAAAUGGGAAAUCAUCGUCAUCAUGAUUGCAGGAUUGCUGUAGCUGAGACCCACUGAUAACUGCUAAAAUCCGGGGGCAAACAGGAUGCCUGUGUAGCUCAAAGUAGCAUGUGCUAUGGUGCUUUGAGUGAGAGCCCACAGAUCCACGUAUGCCACUCUCUCUCUCCAGGAGACAGAGCGUGAAGGGACUCAGCGGCUCUCUUCCGAUGGAUGGUGUGCAGAGGGGACUGCAUCUCUGUGUUGGGGAAACCACACCCCCUCACCCAGGGGACCCAGGCUCACAUCACGGUCGCCCAUCAUGUGGACACCCCGUACCCCGAUAGGAUGUGCUGGUGAGGGCACUUUCCAGAAGCCCACCGUAAUCGUGCACAAACAUCCAGCAAGCCCCAACCAAGGGCCAUUCCACAGAACACCUGGCCGAUAUUCUUCAAGCGUCAAGGUCAUGAAAGGGGGGAUGGAGACACUGUCCCCCGCGGGGGAGGCCCAGGAGGCCCGACCAUGAUGCAGCAUGUGAUGCUGGGUCAGGGAAAGGACAUGAGCAAAACACCUGUCUGUUGUGAAGUUCCCAGCAUCGUGUGAAUGCUUAUUUCUUAGUUUUGACCGUUGUACCACGGGAAUGUAACCUGCUAAUAUUUGAGGCACCCAGGAGCAUAUUCUUCUUAACAGUGAAGUCCAAAGUUAUCUCAAAAUAGAAAGUCAAGUAAAUAAAUUCAAACUUCGACAACCCUUGGUUGGAACCUAUUUUUCCUUGGCAAUUUAAGGAACUUUUCCACUGCCUUCUGCCUUGCACUGUGUCCUUAGGAAAGUUACUUGAAAGUCUUGCUUUUCCUUUGAAAGAAGGAGGCCUUUUCUCCCACUUUUAAGGUUUUUCUCUUCCUCUUUGGUGUUUGGGUCUGGCUUGGAGGUGUGCGGGUGUGAUUUCCUCGUUAUUUGCCUUGAUCUUGUCCACUCAGUGACAUGCAGGGGUUGGCUGGCGGGGGACUCAGCCCGCUGCACCGGCCCCCGCCUCCACCAGAUGAGCCCAGGCAGGAUCUGACCAUGGUGGCAGAGGC